UUGAACGCUGGCGGCAUGCCUUACACAUGCAAGUCGCACGGUAACAGGUCUUCGGAUGCUGACGAGUGGCGAACGGGUGAGUAAUACAUCGGAACGUGCCCAGACGUGGGGGAUAACGAGGCGAAAGCUUUGCUAAUACCGCAUACGAUCUAAGGAUGAAAGCAGGGGACCGCAAGGCCUUGCGCGUUUGGAGCGGCCGAUGGCAGAUUAGGUAGUUGGUGGGAUAAAAGCUUACCAAGCCGACGAUCUGUAGCUGGUCUGAGAGGACGACCAGCCACACUGGGACUGAGACACGGCCCAGACUCCUACGGGAGGCAGCAGUGGGGAAUUUUGGACAAAGGGCGAAAGCCUGAUCCAGCAAUGCCGCGUGCAGGAUGAAGGCCUUCGGGUUGUAAACUGCUUUUGUACGGAACGAAAAGGCUCUGGCUAAUACCUGGGGCACAUGACGGUACCGUAAGAAUAAGCACCGGCUAACUACGUG
rnacentral:rRNA from 1 species